rnacentral:rRNA from 1 species
GGUUAAGCGACUAAGCGUACACGGUGGAUGCCCUGGCAGUCAGAGGCGAUGAAGGACGUGCUAAUCUGCGAAAAGCGUCGGUAAGGUGAUAUGAACCGUUAUAGCCGGCGAUGUCCGAAUGGGGAAACCCAGUGUGAUUCGUCACACUAUCGUUAACUGAAUACAUAGGUUAACGAGGCGAACCGGGGGAACUGAAACAUCUAAGUACCCCGAGGAAAAGAAAUCAACCGAGAUUCCCCCAGUAGCGGCGAGCGAACGGGGAGCAGCCCAGAGUCUGAAUCAGCUUGUGUGUUAGUGGAACGGUCUGGAAAGUCCGACGGUACAGGGUGAUAGUCCCGUACACCAAAAUGCACAGGCUGUGAACUCGAAGAGUAGGGCGGGACACGUGGUAUCCUGUCUGAAUAUGGGGGGACCAUCCUCCAAGGCUAAAUACUCCUGACUGACCGAUAGUGAACCAGUACCGUGAGGGAAAGGCGAAAAGAACCCCGGCGAGGGGAGUGAAAAAGAACCUGAAACCGUGUACGUACAAGCAGUGGGAGCACCUUCGGGUGUGACUGCGUACCUUUUGUAUAAUGGGUCAGCGACUUAUAUUCUGUAGCAAGGUUAACCGUAUAGGGGAGCCGCAGGGAAACCGAGUCUUAACUGGGCGUUAAGUUGCAGGGUAUAGACCCGAAACCCGGUGAUCUAGCCAUGGGCAGGUUGAAGGUUGGGUAACACUAACUGGAGGACCGAACCGACUAAUGUUGAAAAAUUAGCGGAUGACUUGUGGCUGGGGGUGAAAGGCCAAUCAAACCGGGAGAUAGCUGGUUCUCCCCGAAAGCUAUUUAGGUAGCGCCUCGUGAACUCAUCUUCGGGGGUAGAGCACUGUUUCGGCUAGGGGGUCAUCCCGACUUACCAACCCGAUGCAAACUACGAAUACCGAAGAAUGUUAUCACGGGAGACACACGGCGGGUGCUAACGUCCGUCGUGAAGAGGGAAACAACCCAGACCGCCAGCUAAGGUCCCAAAGUCAUGGUUAAGUGGGAAACGAUGUGGGAAGGCACAGACAGCCAGGAUGUUGGCUUAGAAGCAGCCAUCAUUUAAAGAAAGCGUAAUAGCUCACUGGUCGAGUCGGCCUGCGCGGAAGAUGUAACGGGGCUAAACCAUGCACCGAAGCUGCGGCAGCGACACUAUGUGUUGUUGGGUAGGGGAGCGUUCUGUAAGCCUGCGAAGGUGUGCUGUGAGGCAUGCUGGAGGUAUCAGAAGUGCGAAUGCUGACAUAAGUAACGAUAAAGCGGGUGAAAAGCCCGCUCGCCGGAAGACCAAGGGUUCCUGUCCAACGUUAAUCGGGGCAGGGUGAGUCGACCCCUAAGGCGAGGCCGAAAGGCGUAGUCGAUGGGAAACAGGUUAAUAUUCCUGUACUUGGUGUUACUGCGAAGGGGGGACGGAGAAGGCUAUGUUAGCCGGGCGACGGUUGUCCCGGUUUAAGCAUGUAGGCUGAUUGUCCAGGCAAAUCCGGAUAAUCAAGGCUGAGGUGUGAUGACGAGGCACUACGGUGCUGAAGUAACAAAUGCCCUGCUUCCAGGAAAAGCCUCUAAGCAUCAGGUAACAUCAAAUCGUACCCCAAACCGACACAGGUGGUCAGGUAGAGAAUACCAAGGCGCUUGAGAGAACUCGGGUGAAGGAACUAGGCAAAAUGGUGCCGUAACUUCGGGAGAAGGCACGCUGGUGUGUAGGUGAAGCCCCUGCGGGUGGAGCUGAGACCAGUCGAAGAUACCAGCUGGCUGCAACUGUUUAUUAAAAACACAGCACUGUGCAAACACGAAAGUGGACGUAUACGGUGUGACGCCUGCCCGGUGCCGGAAGGUUAAUUGAUGGGGUUAUCCGUAAGGAGAAGCUCUUGAUCGAAGCCCCGGUAAACGGCGGCCGUAACUAUAACGGUCCUAAGGUAGCGAAAUUCCUUGUCGGGUAAGUUCCGACCUGCACGAAUGGCGUAAUGAUGGCCAGGCUGUCUCCACCCGAGACUCAGUGAAAUUGAACUCGCUGUGAAGAUGCAGUGUACCCGCGGCAAGACGGAAAGACCCCGUGAACCUUUACUAUAGCUUGACACUGAACAUUGAGCCUUGAUGUGUAGGAUAGGUGGGAGGCUUUGAAGCGUGGACGCCAGUCUGCGUGGAGCCAACCUUGAAAUACCACCCUUUAAUGUUUGAUGUUCUAACGUUGGCCCCUUACCGGGGUUGCGGACAGUGUCUGGUGGGUAGUUUGACUGGGGCGGUCUCCUCCCAAAGCGUAACGGAGGAGCACGAAGGUUAGCUAAUCCUGGUCGGACAUCAGGAGGUUAGUGCAAUGGCAUAAGCUAGCUUGACUGCGAGCGUGACGGCGCGAGCAGGUGCGAAAGCAGGUCAUAGUGAUCCGGUGGUUCUGAAUGGAAGGGCCAUCGCUCAACGGAUAAAAGGUACUCCGGGGAUAACAGGCUGAUACCGCCCAAGAGUUCAUAUCGACGGCGGUGUUUGGCACCUCGAUGUCGGCUCAUCACAUCCUGGGGCUGAAGUAGGUCCCAAGGGUAUGGCUGUUCGCCAUUUAAAGUGGUACGCGAGCUGGGUUUAGAACGUCGUGAGACAGUUCGGUCCCUAUCUGCCGUGGGCGCUGGAGAAUUGAGGGGGGCUGCUCCUAGUACGAGAGGACCGGAGUGGACGCAUCACUGGUGUUCGGGUUGUCAUGCCAAUGGCACUGCCCGGUAGCUAAAUGCGGAAGAGAUAAGUGCUGAAAGCAUCUAAGCACGAAACUUGCCCCGAGAUGAGUUCUCCCUGAGACUUUAAGUCUCCUGAAGGAACGUUAAAGACGAUGACGUUGAUAGGCCGGGUGUGUAAGCGCAGCGAUGCGUUGAGCUAACCGGUACUAAUGAACCGUGAGGCUUAACCUU